UGGGAAGAAGAAGGAGCUCUACAGGGU
rnacentral:piRNA from 1 species